GUCCACGCCUAACGAUGAUUACUAGAUGUGUGCAAUAUACCGUACGCGUCACAGCUAAGCGUUAAGUAAUCCACCUGGGAGUACGGUCGCAAGACUGAACUCAAAGGAAUUGACGGGCCCGCACAAGCGGAGGAGCAUGUGGUUAAUUCGAUGAUACGCGAGGAACCUUACCAGGGCUUGAAAGUUAGUGAAUGAUUUAGAAAUAGGUCAGCAAGCAAUUGCACGAAACUAGGUGCUGCAUGGCCGUCGU
rnacentral:rRNA from 1 species